rnacentral:rRNA from 1 species
AGGACGAACGCUGGCGGCGUGCUUAACACAUGCAAGUCGAGCGAGAGCCAGCUGAGGGGUAACCCUCGGCUGGGGACAGCGGCGAACGGGUGCGUAACACGUGGGCAACCUGCCCCUGACACUGGGAUAACCCCGGGAAACCGGAGCUAAUACCGGAUACUCUCGGCCGAUCACAUGGCUGGCCGAGGAAAGGUCCGCCGGUCAGGGAUGGGCCCGCGGCCUAUCAGCUUGUUGGUGGGGUAACGGCCUACCAAGGCGACGACGGGUAGCUGGUCUGAGAGGACGACCAGCCACACUGGAACUGAGAUACGGUCCAGACUCCUACGGGAGGCAGCAGUGGGGAAUAUUGCACAAUGGGCGAAAGCCUGAUGCAGCGACGCCGCGUGAGGGAUGAAGGCCUUCGGGUCGUAAACCUCUUUCGGCAGGGACGAAGCGAUCAGUGACGGUACCUGCAGAAGAAGACCCCGGGCUAACUACGUCGCCAGCAGCCGC